AUACGGUUGUUGGAUGAAUAAUAUUUUGCCACUAUGUAGCUCAGACACCGUGCGGACCAUGCCAACAGUGGCCCAAGCUUCCUGUCCUCGCUGCCCUCAAGUCCACUUUGAAUUCUUCUCCCUGGUGAGUUUAUGUGAAAUUCCUCUCCUAGCCUGUCCCUGCCCUGGCAUGUGACCGGC
rnacentral:lncRNA from 1 species